AUACUUUGAUUGUUCAUUCAGCACGAAUCUCGUUAUGGUCAUCAAAUCCGUACGGUAAGCAUCUGCUUCGUGAUCCAUCUUUGUUCUUCUCUCUCUCUCUUCCUAAGCUUCUACGCUAACCAAAUGACUUUUAAUUUAGAGAGAGAAGAGACUGAAUGUGCAAUCUUUUUAAACCCUAUUUUAUGUGUUGCACGUUUCGAGGAAGAUGAUGAGAUAAAGACGCGACCGGUGAGAAAUCAAACGACCAAACGAAGCCAACGAGACUAGAGGGAGAUCGGAUUGACACGUGGCAGUGACAGGUUUGGCCAUCAUCUUGUUGGGGAUAACGAUAACGAUGACGAACCUCGUCCUCGUAUGUUUGGUUUGGUUCAAUCACCUGAUCGUCUAACCCUGUUACGAUAAGAAUAAGAAGAUUCGGUUACCCUUUAUUUUCAUACUAGGUGAUUGUCCGCAGCAACUUUAUAUAUUUAAGUUGUAUAAUAUUUUUAUAUUUAAGUUUACGAAUAAUAAUUAAAUUAUAUAAUAUAUUUUGUUAAACUUUCAGUAUAUAUCAUUUUUUUAAGAUGAACAACACUUAUUUACAAUAAUAAAAUGAAAUUAUACCAUUAAUAUUAAUCAAAUAUAAUAAAAAUAGUAUUUUAGAUAAUAAAUGAAACAAACUUUAAUAAAUAUUUCUUCAGAAAAAACAUUCUAUGUCUAAGUCUCUAAAAGAAGCUUCUUGAAUCGGUGAACUUCGAGGGAUGAAGGAUCGAUCAAAAUUUUACUACAUUUGAAGGUGUUGUAACAAUCCAGAUGUCAUGCACUUGGAUCACCUUUACAAAUCUUAAAACACAUAUGACAAUAGGUUGUUUGCAAUUAAGUAGAGAUCCUAAAAAAAAUUAUGAGUGAUCACCAUCUAGAUGCACUUGUAAACAACGACCGUUAUAAAUUAGUAAAAUCAGAGAGUUUAAUGUCAAUGAUAAACAUGAUAAAAUAUUCACAAACAUGAUAUAUAAAUUAUUUAAGACAAUAAAGACUAAUACAUAUAUAAACCUUUACUAUCGUAUUCUCGAUAUUAAGGAAAAUCACAUUUUAAUUCUGGUUUUUAGGGGUCUCGACAUCAAUUGCAUAGCGUGGGGCAUAGAAACUGAACAUUUUGAAUCCUUAUUGAAAAACACCCCUCGUCGCAAAAUCGUUUUCUGUGUAUUGAGAUUUUGGGAGAUGUGUCGAUAUGGAGGUGAUUUUUCAUUCUCGCGAUCAACCAUAUAUCAACGUAUAUCAAUUGUAGCUAAUAUAAUUUUCCAUUUUGUGCAGAUGAAAUGCGUGUUUGUUCUGACCAAGAAUUCUCUGAAAUAUUGUUUGAUCCUGAUACAAGCACCAAGCUGUCAAGGACUUGUAUAGAAUCGGAAGCAAAGCUUUAGGUCGAUGGCCAAGGGUUGAUUCAAAUGAAUGAGCAACUCUAGACAAGUGAAUCGAUGUGGUGGCUAAGUGACAAGGUGGAUCGAAGUGUACCACACAAGUUGUGUAAGACUUGUGAUAAAACACGAGAACUUUGAUCUAGGAGGUACUGGUCUCAACUAGAGCAAAGGGUUAAACAAGUUUCUCUCAAAGAAAACUGGUUUAAAGAAAGUUCGAUUUUUUAUUGAUAUGAAAGGUGAAAAAUUACAAGGCUGUAAUGGGACCUUAUAUAAUGGUCCUAGCAGCAUAGACUCAAAGAAAUAAAAAGACUCAAAACAACAAGACUUUUAAAAGUAAAGACUCAAAACAACAAGACUUGUAAAUUAAAAAUGCUAAAUUAAAGGACUCAAAAAAAAGGAAAUAAAAGACUAAUUAAAUUGUCUCUGCAUAAGACCAAAGACAAGAGAAACUCAUUAGUCAAAGAAUUGAAAUUUGAUUGAACACUUACCUUAUUUGGUGGCCGAGACUAGUGUGUCUUUGACUAGACUUGAAUCUUCCCUCUUAAGUGUCUUGGUUCAUUGGUGAGAUAGUCAGCAUGUAGACUUGGGCUUGAUUUGGUAAAAGGGGCCAAAUAUCUUGACUCUUUGAAGCUGGGCCGUUUGCUAGCUCUUGGCAUUCUUCAAGUAGUCCGGUCCAAGCUUGUUGUUGAUGGGCUUCAUUAUGCGGCUCCACUUGUUCAUGGUCUUCUCUCGGCCUCUCUUGAUCCACUUGAGACAUUGCUUGUAGCAUGCUUUGGUUGUACUUGUAUUGAAGAAUCUUAGCUCUUUGUCUUGUUAUUGGGCCUUCAUGAAUGACUGGUAUUUCGACAUCUUGUAGUUGUGGCUCGGUUAAGUCUGGCUCAGCUUGAAUGGCCUCAUCAUUCCCUCCCUCUUCAAGAGGUUUUGACCUCAAAACUGGAUCAUCUGCAAUAUAGGGAGCUAGAUCAGAUACAUUGAAAGUUGAGGAUAUGUUAAACUCACCUGGUAGUUCGAGUUUGUAGGCAUUGUUGUUGAUCUUCUCUAGUAUCUUGAAAGGUCCAUCUCCUCUUGGUGCUAGCUUUGAACUCCUUUGGUUUGGGAAUCUUUCAUGUCUCAUGUGCAGCCAUACCCAGUCUCCUGGUUCAAACACCACUUCUUUGCGUCCUUUGUUGGCGUGCUUCACAUAUUGUUCAGUUCUCUUCUCCAAGUUCUCCUUUGCCUUUUGAUGUAGUUUCUUUAUGAAAUCAGCUCUUCUUUCUCCAUCUAAGCUCACGGCUUCAGCUGGUGGUAAUGGUGUGAAUUCCAUUGGGGUCUUGGGGUUGAAUCCAUAGACUAUUUCGAAUGGCGACAUCUUUGUAGCUGCAUGCUGAGCUCUGUUGUAGGCGAAUUCGAUGAAGGGUAUGCACUCCAACCAGUUCUUCAUGUUUCUUCCAAGAGUGGCCCUUAACAAUGUAGAUAAGGUUCUGUUCACCACCUCAGUUUGGCCAUCUGUUUGGGGAUGACAAGUAGUAGAGAACAAAAGUUUAGUGCCAAGCUUCUUCCACAAGGUUCUCCAAAAGUGGCUCAAGAACUUGCUAUCUCGGUCAGAUACAAUGGUUCUUGGCACUCCAUGUAAACGCACAACCUCCUUGAAGAAUAGAUCCGCCGUUUGAGAUGCAUCAUUAACCUUUGCACAAGGUAUAAAAUGUGCCAUCUUGGAAAAUCUGUCCAUCACCACAAAUAUACAGUCUUUGUGCUUGAUCUUUGGCAACCCCAGCACAAAAUCCAUUGAAAUAUCAACCCAUGGUGCUGUAGGAAUCGGCAAUGGCAAGUACAAGCCGUGAGGGUGUACUCUAGACUUGGCCUUCUUGCAGAUCACGCAUCGUGCACAAUGAGCUUCUACAGCCUUUUUGAGGUGAGGCUAAUAGAAGUGCUCUUUCACCACUGCAAGUGUCUUGUCUACUCCAAAGUGACCCAUCAGUCCUCCUCCAUGAGCUUCUCGGACAAUAAGAUUCCUAAGAGAACAUUGCGGUAUACAAAGUCUCUUGUCUCGAAACAUAAAGCCUUCAUAGAUGUAGAACUUGCCAUGAGUUCCCCUGCUACACUCCUCAAAGCUCUCUCCUAGCUCUGGAUCUUCUUUGUAAAGGUCUUUGAUGAACUCAAACCCCAUAACUUUGGCCUCCAUAGUUGCGAUGAGUGCAUGUCUUCGAGAUAAAGCAUCCGUCACUAUGUUGUCUUUGCCCUUCUUGUACUUGAUAAUGUAGGGGAAAGUCUCAAUGAACUCCAUCCACCUGGCAUGUCUCCUCUUGAGAUGGGUUUGUCCUCGAAGGUGCUUAAGUGUUUCAUGGUCAGUGUGGACCACAAACUCUCUUGACAUCAGAUAAUGCUGCCAAGUCUCUAAAGCUCUAACUAGAGCAUAUAACUCUUUGUCAUACAUUGGAUAGUUAACCGUAGCUCCUCCAAGCUUCUCACUGAAAAACGCCACUGGUUUUCCUCCUUGUGUCAGUACAGCUCCUAUGCCAAUGCCUGAUGCAUCGCACUCCACUUCAAACGUUUUGUUGAAGUCGGGUAGCACAAGAACCGGUGCAUUGGUAAGCUUCUCCUUGAGAGUAUCAAAUGCCUUUUGUUGAGCUUCUCCCCAUGUAAAACCAACACUUUUCUUCACCACAGCAGUGAGAGGUGCGGCUAUACUACUGAAAUCCUUGACAAAACGCGGAUAGAAGCUUGCUAACCCAUGGAAGCUCCUCACUUGGCUGAUAUUUGUUGGGACCGGCCAGUCUUUGAUGGCUUUUAUCUUUUCCUCAUCAACCUGUAAUCCCUGCGAGCUCACAACAAAACCUAGGAAAACCAACUUAUCAGUGCAGAAUGCGCACUUCUUUAAGUUUGCAUAAAGGCCUUCUUGUCGAAGAGUCUUUAAAACAAGCUCAAGAUGUGACACAUGAUCAGAUAAACAUUUGUUGUAAACUAAAAUAUCAUCAAAAUAAACAACAACAAACUUACUGAUGUAUGCUCUAAGAACUUGAUUCAUUAGACGCAUAAAGGUACUUGGUGCAUUGGUGAGGCCGAAGGGCAUCACCAUUCAUUCAUAGAGACCUUGCUUGGUCUUGAAGGCAGUCUUCCAUUCAUCACCUUCUUUCAUCCUCACUUGAUGGUAUCCACUCUUGAGAUCGAUCUUUGAGAACAAGGUGGCUCCACUAAGCUCAUCAAGCAUGUCAUCGAGUCUAGAAAUUGGGUGUCUAUACUUGAUGGUGAUGUUGUUGAUAGCUCGGCAAUCUACACACAUGCGCAGGAGCCAUCUCUCUUUGGCACCAACAGGACAGGAACGGCACAAGGGCUGAGGCUCUCCCUCACAUAUCCUUUGUCUAACAGCUCUUUGACUUGCCUCUCCAACUCCUUGGACUCCUCAGGGCUCAUUCGGUAAGCUGGUUUGUUUGGUAAAGCUGCUCCCGGUAUGAAGUCUAUUUGGUGUUCUAUGCCUCGAAUUGGUGGCAAUCCUUCAGGCAUUUCUUCAGGGAACACAUCUUUAAACCUGUCAAGUAAGUCAGUGAUCUCCGGUGGUAGUUCAAGUUCACCUAAACCUGCGCUCAAAAGCUCCUUAAAGAUCAUUAGUAGCAUUGUGUGUUUAGCAGCAAAAACUUUUCUAACAUAGCUAGGCUGAACAAGAAAAUUUGACUUAGAGAUAUUUUCUUUUUCUUUAAGCAUUUGCAUUUGUAGUUCAUGCACUUGUGAUGGUGUAAGAGGUGCUAAACUAACUUUUCUUUUGUUAUGCAUAAGAGUAUACAUAUUAGUCCUACCAUCAUGCUUAGUUUCUCUAUCAAAUUGCCAUGGCCUACCUAACAAUAAAUGAACAGCUUGCAUAGGAACUACAUCGCAUAAAACUUGAUCUUGAUAUUUUCCUAUGCUAAAUGGAAUGGUGACUUGAUCGGUAAUCUUAAGCUCUACCUUAUCAUCGAGCCAUCUCAGCCUAUAGAGCCGUGGAUGCUUAGUUCUCUCAAGGCCUAGCUUAUCAACCAUGUGAGCACUUGCAACAUUAGUACAAGACCCACCAUCAAUAAUAAGAUUACAUACCUUCCCCUUUAUAGUGCAACGGCUGUGAAAGAUGUUCUCUCUUUGUAUGGUCUCGGCUGGCUCCACCAUUACACUUAAUACACGUCUAGUGACAACGAGCUCUCCUGUGUCUGGAUAAGCUAUGUCACCAUACUCAUCGUCUUGAUCUUCUUGAACAUCAGCUUCAUCAUGUGACUCAUAGUCUCCAGCCUCGGUCAUGAGCAUCACUCGAUUGUUUGGACACUCGCGAGACAUAUGACCUCUUCCCCUGCAUUUGAAACAAGUAAUAUCUCUUGCACGCUGAGGGCUAUUAGUCUUACCUGCCUCUGGUCUGGUGUCUUUGCUUGUUUCAACCGCCUUCCCUUUGAAACGUGAAUCAAUUUCCACACUCUUGCCUUUGUCGAGUGGUUUGUUGAAGUUGGUGUUCCAAGUGGUUUGCGGCUUGCUUCUAGUGUUGGAGAUCUUUUUCUUGAUGUGUUGUUCUGCCUGUAUAGACAAAUGGAAAAGAUCUUUGAAGUCUUGAUAUACCUGUCUCUCCACUUUGCGGCUGAUCCUCUCUUGUAAGCCAUCAAGGAAUUGCGCCAUUAGAGCUUCUUCAUCAUCAUUGAGCUCCAAUCGGUUCCUCAAGCGCUCAAACUCCUCAUAGUAUUCUUCUACGGUCCUGGUUCCCUGUUUAAGAGUUCGAAAACGACGCUGUAAGUCUCGGUAAAAAUGAGGAGGGACAUACCUUUGCCUCAUUAGGUCUUUCAUGUCGACCCAUGUAUCAAUAGCUCUCAAGCGGCUUCUCUUUCGGUCUGAUACUUCUCUAUCCCACCAUGUAAGUGCACCGUCGGUGAGCUGAGCCACUGCUAGUGCUACUCUCUUUGGACCAGGGUGAUUGUAAUAGUUGAAGAUGUGAUCCAUCCUCUUCUCCCAAUCUAGAUAAGCCUCUGGAUCAACUUUUCCAGCAAAGUUAGGUGCCGUCAGCUUGAUGUGGUUCUGGUUCUGUCUAGAGUAGGGUGUAUACUAUUCUUCAUCAGCAUCUCCAUAAUCAUCUUGUGGCACACGUCGCCUUUGCCCGCGGUGUCUUUGAUGCCUAGGGUUUGGCUCUUCAUCUUGAGAAGAGUCGUCUUCGGUCAUUUGUGGUUCGUUGGUGCGCACUCCGUUGUGCCUUGGAUUGGUUCCGGUGUUCUGAGUGGUGUUGGGGCCGUUUCCUAAUCCUCCAUUAUGGCGAGUUGGCUGUAGAGUUACCCUUGGUGCUUGCUCCACACGGCUAAGUCUAUCUCCAAAGUCUUGCCUUAAGGCCUUGAUCUCGUCUCUCAUAGAGAUUAUUAGUUGAUGAAGAGGGUCUUGUGCAUUGCUGCUCUCCUCUCCCAUAGUUGCUUAUGGAUUUUGUUUCUCGCAAAACAAAAACACAAGAUAAAGGGUAUUUGCUUAGUUCUGAUCAAAAAAAAAAAAAAUGGAAAGUCUUGUAAUGUACUUUCUCUUUUUUUUUUUUUUUUUUAACUUGGAAUGACAACUAAACAAAUAAGGAAAUUAGUGCUGUCUAAAUAAUUAACAACUUAGCAAGAGAAUGAAUUUAAACGAGAUUAAAACAAAUAAGGAAAGUCUGACUUGAUGCACCUAAACUUGGAAAUCGACACAACAAUUCAGGACAAUUUUUUUUUUUUGACUUUUCUCUGAUGAAACAACUUAGACAAUAAUCAAAAUGAAUCAAAUGACUAGUAAAAUUAUAAUGCAGGAAGAACACAAAAAUAUAUGAUAUGAUUUUUUUUUUUAAUUUAAUAUGAUGCAAUGAAACAAAUGACUAAAUGGAAAUGAAAAGAUGUAAAUAGAUAGAUAAAACCUGGGCUGAAGGAACUUCAGCUCUGAUACUAAAAAUGAUACAAGCACCAAGCUGUCAAGGACUUGUAUAGAAUCGGAAGCAAAGCUUUAGGUCGAUGGCCAAGGGUUGAUUCAAAUGAAUGAGCAACUCUAGACAAGUGAAUCGAUGUGGUGGCUAAGUGAAAAGGUGGAUCGAAGUGUACCACACAAGUUGUGUAAGACUUGUGAUAAAACACGAGAACUUUGAUCUAGGAGGUACUGGUCUCAACUAGAG
rnacentral:lncRNA from 1 species